GGCCUAUGGAAGGUCUUCCUAAAAUUCAAAUGAACAACGUAGAGAAUCUUGGAAGAAAGCCCUUUGGAUCCACCUGCUGACCUCAGCCUGGCCUUCAAAGUCACAGUAGCUCACACUGAGGAUAUUUCAGAGUCCAGUCCUGCUCCUUUUGAUGCAGGCUGACCUUGAACUUCCUAUGUAUCUAAAGGUAAGCUUAAGCAUACAAUCAAUCCCCUUGCCUCUGCCUUCGGAAUGCUGAGAUUACAGAUGUGUGUCAUCAUGCCUGGGUUAUGCAAUGCUAGGCAUUGAUCCCAGAGCCUCAUGCAUGCUAUGCACGAGCUCUACCCACUGAAUUACAGCCACUAGAUUCUUAAUCUUGUACUUCAGUAACCAGCACUUUCUUUAACAGUGCUUCAACCAUACACCCAAGCAUCCCCCAUACACCAUGCCAUGCACCCCCCAACCUCUGUACAGUUACAUGAGUGAAUGCAUCUUAGGAUUUCCUGAAUCAUAAUUUCCUGAAUUAUAUUCAUAAAGUCAUAUUUUAUGACUUCAUGUAGAAAUAGCACCAUUUAAUUGGUAUUUACGGAUUUUUCUCUUUUUCAGAGAAUAGGUAAUAAAUCCCUAGAGUGCAUAGUUAAGCACUACACUUUACAGUGUUACACACAUUGUAUUGGCUCAUAUUCUCCAGCUUAUGUGCAAAUCUAUUCGUUGCCUUUCAACAAGCCAGGAUUACACAGUAGAACUGCCAAUCCCUAAAAUUAGUUUUUAAAAAAACACUUUAUGUAACUCAGAAAAUAUGGCUCAUCUCUUCGAAGGCUGGA
rnacentral:lncRNA from 1 species